rnacentral:RNase_P_RNA from 1 species
GCUGACAGCAAUCUCGCGGUGGGGGUAGCUUACGGGGCACGGGGCAUAUUGUUGCUCAAUCGAAACCCUCGGUAAGGUCUGAGACGAGCCACCAAACGACACCAAAGUUCUUCAAGACUUUGAAUUGUACAUUUCACUAAUAAUAACGAUAACAAUUCAAUCCAGGAAAUAUUCUUCCGGC